AUGUCUUGUCUUAAUCCAGCAAACAACUUCUCAAAGUUUAACGUCAACAAACUUAUUAGACUUGCUGAAAUUUAUGAUGAAGACUUUACAGAAGUUGACCAGUUGUUGCUAAGAGUAGACCUCCCAAGAUUUCUUAUGAACAUUAGGAUAAGUGAUGAAUUUAAUGGGUGUCGGGAUGUGUCCACACUAGCUCGGUUGAUGGUUGAAACAACGAAACACACAACUUUCCAGUUGGUAUAUUGCCUCAUCGAGUUGACACUCAUUCUUCUUGUGGCCACUUCAUCGGUUGAGCGAAUAUUUUCCGCAAUGAAGAUCAUCAAGACAGAUUUGCACAACAAACUAUCAGAUGAUUGGCUAAAUGAUUUAAUGGUGUGCUACAGUGAGAAAGAUAUAUUCAGAAGCAUUCAUGAUGACCAAACCAUGAUACAAUUCCAGAAAAUGAGGGAUCGGAAAGGACAUUUGCCUCACGAGUUUAAUGUGAUUCCUUAG
rnacentral:rRNA from 1 species